rnacentral:lncRNA from 10 species
GUGAAUUGGUAGAUUAAGUAAAGAGGAUAUCUUCACCAAGGUGGGCUAGUCUCAUCCAAUCCAUAGAGGGCCUGAGUAGGACGAAAAGGCAGAGGAAGGGCUUCUUGAGCUGGAACAUCCAUCUUCUCCUGCCCUCAGGCCCUGGUGCUACUGGUUCUUGUGCUCUUGGACUUGGACUGAAGCUAACAUCAUUGGUUCCCCUGGUUCUCAGGCCUUUGGACUUGAACUGAAUCCCACCACUGAACUCUAAUGCUGGCUUUCCUCGUUCUCCAGCCUCCAGGAGGGAGAUUGUGGGAUUUCUUGGCCUCCAUAAUCAUGAAUUGCUGUUGUUUCCUGGCUUCCUGAUGGUCCUGUUUUUUACCUUCUGCUGCUUUUUACGGAUUUAUUUUUUCUUGACUGAUUCGUACCUUUUUGAGCAAUGGGAACCUUUGGUGGUGUAAAGCCUAGAAAAGACUCGCAACAAUAUUAAAAAAUGUGUAUGACACACAUGGUAUGUCGGAAGAAACCCAACCAUAUCUGUGUUUGCAACAACUGCAGUGUACCAUGAAGAUGACUGGAGUUCUAUGGCAACAACAUUGCAAGCACUGCUAAACCCACUGUGGUUUCUUGCCUACAUUCCUAGCCAAAGUCAACACUAAAUUUCUGUUAGAGGUGAUGAAAAUAAAAGUUUAUUUUUCCCCAUCUAUGCUCAUAUAGUCCUCCCCCAAAUUCCAUCUAUGGACUUUUGGGAGAUCCAUGGACCCCAGGUUAGGAAUGUUAGAAUUAGAUGCAUUAUUUCUUUAUAGGUAUAGAUAAGGAAAAGAUUAGAAGGAUCAACUGAUCUGGCCAUUAACUAGUUCAAAUACUAAGGAGUAAAAUGAAAUAAAAGUUUUAUGUUUUUACCAGAGA